rnacentral:lncRNA from 1 species
CAGUAUAUAUUAUAAAACCUACCGUUCAGGUUAAUGAUCUUUAAAUGCUAAAAUAUCACAGAGCCAAAAAAUCCAACUUCUACACAUAUACAAUAUAUGUUCCAGACAGAACAACCUUGAUGACAAAAUCACAAAAAUCAACAGGUAAUUCGUUUUUCCCUUAAAGCAAGAACCUUCUCACAAUGCAAUCUAAAAUCCUGAGAUAUUCAAAUCCCACCAAAACUUAGCUAUAACAGAACAUGAAACCCCUUGCUGAGACCCUGUAUUGUUGAUUUCACAAAUACGGAGCAAGCUUAUCUCAGAUCAAUUUCCUCUGUAAAAUGCAACCUGGAAAAUGGAAAGAAAAGGAAAAUGAGCAAACCCCAUAAUAUCUUUGAUAAAAAAAGGGGUUUUUUGUUAUCAGAAAUCUCAGAUUCAAGAAGAGACAAAAACACAAACGCGGAAUUCAAAGAUUCAAAGAAAUUUGAAACCUUAACAACCCUUUUGAAGAAUUUAACACACACAAAAAAGGACAAAAUGCAGAGCACCAAGAUGAAAGAGAUAGGUAAUAAAGAAUAACGAAAAAUGAAUUGAUACAAUUUUAUUUAUUUUUCGAAACAAAAAAAGAGGAGAAGAAAAAGAAAUUCUUAC